rnacentral:rRNA from 1 species
UACCAUGCAGUCGACGGGAGCGGUGGCUAUUCAUUUCGGUGGGUAGACGCCGUUGUGAGAGUGGCGAACGGGUGCGUAACACGUAGGUAACCUGCCCUGAAACGGGGGAUAACCACGGGAAACUGUGGCUAAUACCCCAUACGCUUCCGGUCCCUCGGGUAAGGAAGGAAAGCCGCAUCGUGGAUGUGGCACUCGAAGAUGGGCUCAUGGCCUAUCAGCUUGUUGGUGGGGUAACGGCCCACCAAGGCUACGACGGGUAGCUGGUCUGAGAGGACGAUCAGCCACACUGGCACUGAGAUACGGGCCAGACUCCUACGGGAGGCAGCAGUGAGGAAUAUUGCGCAAUGGGCGAAAGCCUGACGCAGCGACGCCGCGUGGGGGAAGAAGGUUUUCGGAUUGUAAACCCCUUUUAGGAGGAAAGAUGGGGUGGGUUUCCACCCGGACGGUACCUCCAGAAAAAGCCACGGCUAACUUCGUGCCAGCAGCCGCGGUAAUACGAAGGUGGCGAGCGUUGUUCGGAUUUACUGGGCGUAAAGAGCACGUAGGCGGUUUAGUAAGCCCCUUGGGAAAGCUAUGGGCUUAACCCAUAAAGGUCGAGGGGGACUGCUAAGCUAGAGGGCGGGAGAGGAGCGCGGAAUUUCCGGUGUAGCGGUGAAAUGCGUAGAUAUCGGGAAGAAGGCCGGUGGCGAA